rnacentral:rRNA from 1 species
AGAGUUUGAUCAUGGCUCAGGACGAACGCUGGCGGCGUGCCUAACACAUGCAAGUCGAACGAGAAUCUUUGGAAUGAUUCUUUCGGGAUGAAUUCCAAAGAGGAAAGUGGCGGACGGGCGAGUAACGUGUGAGUAACCUGCCCAUAAGAGGGGGAUAAUCCAUGGAAACGUGGACUAAUACCGCAUAUUGUAGUUAAGUUGCAUGACUUGAUUAUGAAAGAUUUAUCGCUUAUGGAUGGACUCGCGUCAGAUUAGAUAGUUGGUGAGGUAACGGCUUACCAAGUCAACGAUCUGUAGCCGAACUGAGAGGUUGAUCGGCCGCAUUGGGACUGAGACACGGCCCAGACUCCUACGGGAGGCAGCAGUGGGGAAUAUUGCGCAAUGGGGGCAACCCUGACGCAGCAACGCCGCGUGCAGGAAGAAGGUCUUCGGAUUGUAAACUGUUGUCGCAAGGGAAGAAGACAGUGACGGUACCUUGUGAGAAAGUCACGGCUAACUACGUGCCAGCCGCCGCGGUAAUAC